UCUCCGAGGUCUCUUUGGCGUGAAUCCCUAGGACUGCUGAGAGUCUGAGCCUCCUGUGGCUCCCUUCACACUGGGUCAGAGAGAUACAGCUGCUCACAGAACGACAGGGAGAUUCUGCCCCUCCUUUGGCCAGACUGGGGCUAUGGAAGCUGGCUAGCCCGGGCUGGACCUUGGUUUGAAGCAAGGAGAUCCGCCUGUCCUGGAACACGGAGGGGAUUUGCAAAGAUGGGCUAGAUCUUUACUGCGCGCGCAACUUGCAACUUCCGGGCUCUUUCCCACCACCGCUUUUCGACCCAGGCCAAGAGCGGGGAGACCAGUGAGGACUGCUAAGGAAUGAGUUCCAGGCCGUCAGAAUGCUGAUCGCGCACUGUUCUUGUCACGGGUGUUUGUGAAUUUACCACUUGCUAAAGUAUUUCUGUAACUCUAAA